CCAGCAAGCAUAUAUGCGUAUAUGCAUCAUUCAACUAGUUCCUUUUUAUUUCCAUAUAUAUCACAGUGUAAAAGUCCACUAGGGUACACAAUGUGAACAGAGAAAAAGAAUACACGAAUGACAUACAAUUUUUUGUGUUAUUAUUAUUUUUCCUUAUUGUAUUUAUCAUGAUGAAAAUAUAUAAAAACAAAAACAAAAACAAAAACAACAAUGCAGGGCCUACAUAUUAUGUGCUCAGGACUCGUAAGAUUUUCUGAUGUGGGUGAUGACUAUGCAUAUUGGAGGCUGGAGCUUCAUUUAUGUUCAGUAGCCAUGACAACAGGAGCAGCGCAUGCGAACCUGUUCAGUAACAAUAUUUUUAUGUGGCCAAUGUGAAGAUAUAUGGAGGAGAACGAUCACCGGUUAUUUAUAUGAAUGCAGCCAGUGGCAUGACUAGAGUUUUUGGUGGUUUGGCUUAGUUGAAGGGUUUUUUUGACUCUUGACUAAUAGAAUUUUACUGUAGGAGAUUAGAAAUUGAAUAGGUCCUAAAGGAAGAAAAUACCUAGAAUUACCAAAUGACUAGUUUUCU
rnacentral:lncRNA from 1 species